rnacentral:lncRNA from 1 species
GUUUAGAGAAUUUUGGGAUUUUUGCCAAAGUGUUGGGAUUGCUUUUUGGUGGAAAUGGGAGCCUAUAUAUAGGGAUAGGAGGUGGCCGGCCUAGCUAGGGUUUUUGGGUUGAAUUUAGGUUUAAUUAGGGUAAUUAAAAAGGGAAAAUAUGGUAGAAAAGGUAGAAAACAUGGAGGAUGGCCGGCCAUGUGGUGUUUUAUGGGUUAAAGGGAUCACUUAAUUGACAAUUUAAGGGAUUAAAAAGGCAAUUAACCCCUUAAUUGGCCAUUUAUCAUGAUUUUUAGAAGGAAGGUUUUAAAGUUAUGGAAAGAAUAAAAUAAAUAGCUAAUUGAUUAGCUAAAAGAGGGAAAAAGAGGUAAGAAAUAUAUGGAAUGAAAUAGGUUUUAAGUUGAUACCUAUUUUGGGCACUUUUGACUUAGUUUAGGGAUGAUUGCCAGCUGCUUGCGCGUAGGAAUCCCAGUAUACCUCUAGGGUAUUUUUGUCUUCUUUUACCCAAGAAUCCACGUGUCACCUUGUGAUUAUUUUUGCUCCACAAAUGCCCCCACACUUGUUGGGCUGCUCGCAAGAAAUGGCAGCAGGUGUAUAGAUCUUCUUGCUUUAGGAAACUUAAGACUGCUUCCUAUUUUGAUGUUGAUUCUCUUUUUAAUAGGAAAUUAGAUCAUUCUAGGAAAGGGAAAUAAAUUUCUCUCAAAGCCUAUUUAAGUCCCUCUUAAGUGGGUUAUUAAAUCAACUUUGGAGAGCGAUUUAUUCUACCCUACAAGAGAGAGAUAACUUAGAGGAUAUUUGUUCCCCCUCCUCUAGCAAUCUUUUACAUCUUGCCUGUGCAAAGGACCGUCUUUCAUUGCUUUCUCCAUCUUCUUCGCGCCGCACCGAGGUAAGAAAAAAUUAAUUUUCCUUGUCUUGUUCUUGGAUGGCGCUACCGCGGGGCAACCAUCGGGGUAGUGCGGCACGUCGGCUGGCAUGGGCCAGGAGUCGGCUCGGCAUGGGCCGAUGAGGUAUUGUGGUAAGGACCACUACUUUAAGCUGCUCGACUUGGCUAGAACCAAGGGCAACUUGUGUGGUUGUGGCCGCAGAUUGUGGCAUUGGGGUGCAGUGUUAGGCACGUCACAUGACUCAUGUCCUUUUAGGAUUUUGGACAUGACACGAGCUAGGCCGGUGAUUGAGAGAAAUGAAGAGGUUGCGGGCCUUAUGAGCUGCUGGAAUGUUGGGUUGAACUCCUCUGCUGAGUACCACGAAUGACGUUGGCUACUUUAGCUCUUUUCGUCAGGAGAAACGUGGGCUGCUCCCAAAAGAUGAGGUGAAUAGGAUGAAGACGGAUGCAUUGGCUGGUCCAACCACUAUUGUGGAUCUUGCUGCAAGUGAAGGUGGGAAAAAAGAUAUUCCCUGCUUGCUCAAGAGAUGCCGGCUGAGAAAAAACCAAAAACUUCUUUCACUGCUCGCACGGGUUCGCCAACUGCUUCCAGGCUUGUGAUUGACUUGACUUUUUCCAAGGGGACGAAAAAUGAGGUUGCUAGAUCUGAGCAUGUGGCGACUGUCAUGUCAAGAAUGGCUAGUACGAUUGCUGAUAGGAUUGUUCGGCAUAAAGGUCCUGUCAUGCCCCUAGUGCCGAAUUUUGUACCCAGACGUCUGUUGGGAGCUAAGUCCGGUUCACCUUUAGAGAGGCUUGCUAUUAUGAAAAGCGAUAAGGUGGAAUCUGCUGCUAAAGUGGCGCCAAGGCCCAUUCCUUAUGCUGCUGAGAUUGAUUCGCUUGCUGGGAAUGAGGAGACUGCUCGCGUAGGCAGCUGUGAGAAAUCCACUAAGCUUGCUUCUAGGGAGACUGCUGAGAUCUAUGUGUUUUUGAAACCAGCUCUGCUUGAAAACAUGGACGCUUGUGCCAAGUUUGUUGAUGGUGUCAGAAAGGUUGUUUGCCCAAGCUCGUUUGCGAAGCAUACGACCCAAUAUAGAAGAACUGCUCUGCUUGCUAUGAUGCAGAUAUAGCAAGGCUGCUAAGGAGAUGGCAAAUACAAUGGCAGAUUCUGAGCUCGUUGCUUUGAAGGGGUCUAAUAUUUCUACCCCCUCUUCGUUGCAGCUUGAGACCACUCGCCAAGACAUCAUUGACUUGAAGACUAGGUUUGACACGAUCCAAGUUAAGCAUGAAAGUGCAGAGAAGGAGAUUAGAUGUCACAUACCUUAGAUUCAAGAUCUUAAGCAUGUCGUUUCUAAGCUUCGUUCUACUAAAAAAGAUGAAGAGUUGAUUGCUGCUUAUAACCAAGUGAUCCACUUCAAGAGAAUCAUCGAUAGGCUUGAACCCUAAGUGUUGGAACUUCAAGGCGUACUGAAGAUCAACGAAAGUCUGAAGAAGGAAGUGGAUGAGCUGCAGAGCAUCCAUGUUGAUCUGCUCGAGGAGGAUGAGCAACUGAAAGGUGAAAAGGCUGGGCUUGGGGUUUCGAGACCUUCUCUAUUUCUCCGGAAGACUUGCUUGAUUUUACUUUUGAGGCUUCCAUUAGUGAAGUAGUUGGAGAAGUUAGUGCCCAAGAUGGGGAAGCCGGGGGUGAAGCCCCGGAUGAUAUCGCUGCUAAGAGCGUCACGGUUGCUGAAGGUGUGGCGACUGAGUAGUCAUGGGAUGUCCAAGUUGCUAUAGUUUUCUAGGUAGCCUUUAUGAUUUUAUUUGUUUUUCUUGUAGCUCUUGUUUUGCUUGAACUCCUUCGGCCUUUGCUAAUUGUUUAUAAACAUGCUUCAUUCGCUUUUCUUCAUCUUUGCUUCUUUUGUUCAUGCCCUAACCUUUAGACUUAAUAGACUAGUGGCAAGCAUGCUACUUUUUUAUAAGCAGACAAGCUCGCGUAGCCUAUGCAGCUGUAGGUGUUGGUGUAGAACGUUGCAAAGUUGUUAGCCAUAGGGUUGGCAGCCGGAUGCCUUACUUACAGAAGCAGACAAGUCCGCGUAACCACUAGGCUGUUAACCUUGGCUUUCUCCAAUUCCGUAGGUUGCGUAGCAAGUAUCACAACAUUUUAGGACUUGGUGUAGGUUGUUCCACGCUUAGCAGAGGUGAAGCUUAUCGACUACGUAGCAUGUCGGCAGUGGAUAAAACUUCGUAUAUGCGCGCUAGCUUGUUUAACCUUUCACAAGAAUGUGCGGUUGUAUAAGUUUAGCACUGCUUUACUGCUCAAAGGGCAAGCCGUAGGCAGUAUUCCGAAAUCCGUAGGCUACCUUAGUGCAUUCGGUAGCAGCUUUAGGGUCCCAAGGCAGACGUCUGUAGGGCGUACUACGUAAUGUGCCCCCUCAAUCUCUAGGGCCCGAUUCCCCACGGAUUAGGCCAAAAGACCCAAAAUCCUUCAGUUAGCUAAGCCUUGAAAAAGACCAUUAUGGCUACUUCUAGGAAUCCCGGUGCAAGCCAUCGUGCAUCUAGCUAUACUAGGGUAGCCAGGCUCAUCCACGUCUGGAUAUUCGGAGUGUAAAGUUUAUCCUCCCGUCUUAGAGAGCUGACCUAUAUGGGUGUCGGGGAAUUGGUUUACCCUCUCGCACUGGAGAGCAUAGUUGGUCCCUCGGGGGGCGCAAUUCCUGCAAUGAGUCCCUAAGAAGGGCGCAGUCUUCUUUUGAAGUGCAGGAGUGAUUAGUUGUUGUAAGCAUGCAGCCGAGCUAAGUUUUGAUUACUUUUAAAUUCCUCAUUGAAAAACGAGUGAAACGAACGUGAACUUAGCUGUAAGGUAGGAACUGCAUAAUAACUGGAUAGUCCUCAGCUUGUGUGGUGGUGCCCAUCGAGCUUCUUGAGUCUUCAGACUUUGAUGUAGUGGGAGGUCACACAUGGUACCCCUUCAGAUUGUAGACGCUCUACUGCUUUUUGAUCUUUUUGUCGUUUCAUGGUGGUGAGGGUGUAAUUACUCUUGCUGCCUACUCUGUUGAUCUUGUAUGGUCCUUCCUUUAUGGAAUCCAUCUUUUUAGAGCCUUCUCUUUGGGCAGUGAUGAAAGCUUUUCUUAGGACUAGAUCUCCGGACUAGAACUGCCAGAUUUUAGCCAUUUUGUUGUAGCUGGAGAUGAGCUACUGCUGGUAGGCUGCAAUGCGGGUACUGGUCUGCUCACGCUUCUUCUCUGCCAGAUCUAAGCUUGUGACCAUCUAUUUACUGUUCAGCUCAAUGCCUGGUAGUAGAGCGGUGAUACUUGGCUUGAUGACAUUGGGAUGAAUGAUUGCUUCCGAACCAAAUGCCUAAGAGAAAUGAGUCUCACUGGUUGCUCGUUUUUUGGUGGUGCGAUAUACUCAUAGACAUCCAGGGAGUUCGUCUGGCCAUUCUUCCUUCUUGUUGGUGAAGGAUUUCUUGAGGCAGUCGAGGAUCAUUUUGUUGGAUACUUCGACCUGCCCAUUACUUUGAGGAUAUCUCGGAAUGGACAUGUGCUGCUUGAUGCCAUAUUCUUGGAAGAACUUCUCCAAUGCCUCAAGUUGCUUGCGUACUUUCUCUAGGUAUUGCGCCAUCCUCUGAUGUUUUGCCGUGUACUCCCCAGUAGUCUAGCUGGUGAUUAGCUGGGAAUCAGAAUGAAUUGCGAGCUUCUUCACUACCAAGUCUUUUGCCAUUCAGAGGCCUGCUAGUAAGGCAUCGUACUAUGCUUCGUUGUUAGAUGCUUUGAAGCUUAGAGUGAUUGCCUUCUCGAGCAUUGAAUCGUCUGGGGUGACAAGAACCACGGCUGCUCGCGAGCGUUUGUAGUUGGAUGCACCGUUGACAUGCAAAUGCUAGAAAUCUCCAUUGAGGGAGUAAGUGCGGCUAAAGUGUGCUCGACUGCCUUCGGGGCAUCGUUGGGCUACUUUGUUGCGUUGUCAAGGCUAGGCGUGAAAGCACGGCAAGGAGCCGUGGAGCUGGGGCCAUGUUACAUGUAGCAAGAGAUGCUUAACUUUCGAUAUUGGGCCACUCUAGAGUUGAAUAAUGGAGCAAGGGUCGGCUAGGGCCUUGUGACACGUGGCAGGAGGUAGUGCUCAACUGCCGGUACAUGUUGCUCUUAUGUUGAAUCUUUUGGGUCGAUAAGGACAAAACUUGUUUCUGAGUGUUCUUUCCAAUGUUCGUCUGCCCUUGGUGUGUCUUUUGGGCAAAGUUGUUGUGUUUGUUAGAAAACUUUGCAUCCGCUAAGGUCCACUCCUUUAUCGUUGCGUGUCUAGAUUCGGCAGAAUGGUGCAUCAUGAUGAUGACUGCAUGCGUUUGAAGGUAAAACUUGAGCUUUUAGGUUACAACAACUAUCACCAAAGGUAGCUUUUAAAUUUCUGAUAACAUCAAUGAGAGCUUUUAAACUGUGGAAUACAACUGAUAGCAUCGAAUAGAGCUUUUAAACUGUGGAAUAUAGGUCGUCGGGCCCCCAGCUCUUCUCACAUGAUGGUAGAGCUUAUUGCUGGUCUAGAUAUCGUCAAACAUGUGAAUAAGUCCUCCGCUACUUCCGGUUUGGAUAGUAGGGAUAUGACGUCGAGUACUUAUUCAAGUCUUUGAAUGUGCAUUGGUGAGCCUCGUCCCAAAGUGCAUGAUUCUCUGCUAGAACGAAAGAGUCUGCCAGAGUUAGAUCUUCUUUCAUGAUCAAUUUUCUGAAUAGUGGGUGGUCUGCUGGAAGUCUUUUUUGGAAGGCUGCUCUAACUAUCGAGUCAUUGCAUCCGACUAUCCUUGCCUUCUCUACUUUGAACCUCCUCACAUAGUCGCGAAGUGACUCCUUUGGGUUCUUCUUGACGUCGAACAAAUGGUUAGACUUCUUUUUGAUCGAGCGAUAAGAUGAAUAUUCUUUGGUGAAAACCAAAGAAAGUUCGUAGAAACUCCGGAUGGAUUGUGGCAGCAAGGUGUAGAACUAAUCUUGAGCCUCGCCUUGUAGAGUGGUGGUGAAUAUCUUGCACAUGAGAUCAUCAUUGUUUCGAUAAAGGAUCAUUACGCGUCGGUGGCGCUUUAAGUGUCUCUCCGGGUCUUCAUCCCCUUUGAAAGAUGUGAAAUAUGGCAUGCUGAACUUGCGUGGAGGCUCUGCCUCAUCGAUAUCGUCCAUGAAGGGUGACCUGCUUAUGUUGUUCAUGUUCCAUCGUAGUGCCUCAUCGGUAACCUCGUUGCGUUGGAAAUUAUGCAAUCACUUGGUCAAUAGUCUCUCUACUUCUUUUUGAAUUUGUCUCUACUUCUUUCUGAAUUUGUCUUUGUUGGGAUAACGGAGCUCUCGGCUGCCCUCAGCCAUGACUUGCUGGUCUAGGUUGCUCUUCCAUGUGUUUGGCUCGUCUAUACCACGGAUGCAGUGCAUGUGGUACAUUUCUAGCAGGCGAACGAGUUCUUCGCAAGCUACUAGUUGAACUUAAGCUGGAUUGAGUGACUGCUUCUCUCCGUCCGUCGUGCUGCCACUCCGAUGUGAGGUGGAGGAUGCUCCUUGCGGGCUUAGCCACGAAUGAACACUUUGCCCGGAAGGUUGCUCAUGUUGACUAUCGGAGUGUGACCCCAACCGUGAAUGUAUACUCAUCCGUGGGCCUAGUCGAGAGUGCACAUUCCUCCGCUUGCUAAGAUAGGAGUAUACGCUAUGUUGGGGGACCCAAUCAGGAAUGUACACUGCCCGAACACUCGGCUCGUGACUGGUCGAGUGGCUGCUUGCCGGGACGCUGCUGGAAAGGUUCGUCUGCCCUUGUCCUAUUUCGAGAUACCUCAUCCGGGGCACGUUGGAUCCUGAUGCGUUGCAAAAGUUGAUUCACCAAGGUUGUUUGUUGUGCAAGGGUGCUCGUCAACUCUAUGACUUGUCGAGACAAGUGUUGUUCGCCAUUUGGAUUGGAAGAGCUUUGAAGGAAUAUGCCUCUUUGGGCAGUGGAAGGGUGGUAGAUUCUGUGCGUGAAAUUUGAGUUAGGAAAUGUCAAAUCCGUGAAAAAAUAUAGUGAGAAUGCCCCCGGCUCGAUGGUAGGUCCGGAUGGUUGAGAUAGUCUUGGGCUGACUUGGACUGCUUGGAAAGCCACGGGAACAGGCUGGGCCACGAGAGCAGGUUAGGCCAUGAGAGUGGGCUGCUCGACGGGAGCAGGUUGGACCACGGGAGUGGGUUGCUCGUCGGAAGUAAACUGGGAUGUGAGAGCAGGUUGGGCCGUGAGAGCAGGCUGGGCCGCGAGAGUGGGCUGCUCGUCAGGAGCAGGCUGGACUAUUGGAGCAGGCUGCUUAGCGCAUGAUGCAUGCGAAUGCGAGGCUUGGGCUCGGACGCGUGCAAGCUUGGAUGACACGGCUUGGGCUGUGGCCUUGGUGCCGUGAGCCUUGGAUGGCACGGCUCGGGCAGUGGUGAAGGCACCAUGGACCUCGCCACAGGUGGCUACCGAGGUAGCCACCGUGGUGGUUCCCGUGGUGGAAAUUCGUGGUGGUGGUGCUGCUCCACUUAUUGUCGCAUUUAGCCUCACGGUUCUCCGCAAUCCCAUUUCUUGAACAUUAGAAUUUUCACUUGUGGAAUUUUCCAAAUUUCUAGCCAUUAUAUUUUUCUUAUACGUUUUAUCAAAGAACCUUUGCAAGUAAAAAAUUCUAAUAAUAAGAAUGUAUGAAAAAUAUUCAAAUGGACUAGAAAAUAAAGAAAAAUCCUUUUUGUGCGAGAGUCUUCUACGAGUAUGGAUUUCAACUCUCAAUGAAAGCACCAAUUUGUGGUUGCAAAUUUCUUCCUUCUUGAUCUUGGACAAUUUUGCACCUACAAAACAAUUAACAUCUUAGGUUAAGGCCAAGAGCCUCACGCGCCCACGAUGAAAGGGGGGGCUUUGGUCGAAGAACCUCCGAUGCCAAAGUUAGAAUUUAGAGAGAAAGACUGUUUAGAGAAUUUUGGGAUUUUUGCCAAAGUGUUGGGAUUGCUUUUGGUGGAAAUGGGAGCCUAUAUAUAGGGAUAGGAGGUGGCCGGCCUAGCUAGGGUUUUUGGGUUGAAUUUAGGUUUAAUUAGGGUAAUUAGAAAGGGAAAAUAUGGUAGAAAAGGUAGAAAACAUGGAGGAUGGCCGGCCAUGUGGUGUUUUAUGGGUUAAAGGGAUCACUUAAUUGACAAUUUAAGGGAUUAA